rnacentral:snoRNA from 1 species
UUGCAAUGAUGAGCUAGAAUCACGAAAAUGUCGUUUAUCGCUGAAUUAAAAGACCGACUUCCUUCGUUCGGAAGUCGUGUCGAUCGGCGGAAUGGACGAGCGUCUAAUCUUCUCUCUGAGCAAG